AUUUUGACCUAGAUCUGAACUUCCCUAAAGUUUUGCUGUGUUCAGAUCUAAGAAUUUGGCUUAGGCCACUAUAAAGAUAGAGACCAACUACAAAGUUUGGAUACUGGGCCAAAUUUCCCCAAAUCUGGGAGUUGUGUGCAGGCUACAUUUGGAGUAGUUCUAGAGAAGGGGUCAGCUGCUAGGUGCAGAUCUGAAUUGAAACUUUCCCAAAUUUGGCAAAUGUUUCUAAAAUCAAAACCCCUGAUCAAGCUCUAAAAAUUUCUUUCCAGUUGCCCUUUCCUAAAAGACAUACAGAGUCCAAAGAAACAUCCUCCUUAAAAAACAUCUUCCAAAAGAGCUUUAUCUGUAAGUUUUGUUUCUCUAUCAACCCCACUUAGGAAAGCCUGGCUCAUGCUUUCUUGCCGAGCAUUUGCUGUAUGUAUUUCUUUUCCUUCUCUCUUGGCUGUGAGCACGUUCUGCCAAACACAGAAGGGCUUUGUGAGGCAGGGAACAGCUCUAACUCCUACUGCUAGUAACAUUUGCACUGCCUCCCUCUCAGAGUUGGACAUUAACCACCUCUGGUGUUUCACUCUCUCCACAAAAAUAGUUGUUUCUAGUAAGCUCUCGCAACCCCCCCUUUUCAUCCUGUCUUUUUCACAAUAGGGAGCUAAUAAGCCUUUUCAUUUAGCAGAGUGUGGAGAGGAUCCUGUAAUCAGUCGCUUUCCAAAGGGAGCUGAAAAUUUCAGCAGAGUUUUCAAAAGAGAAGGGUCUCUUCCUCAGCUCUCUGCAGACUGCACAGUAGCUUGGGACUCUGCAGUCUCAGGGACUCUCCAAUGUUUCCUCUGGGUAGGAGAGCACAGCUGCUGAAACAGACCUGCUAUUCAUCUCCCUGAUGUGAGACGCCCGUCUUGGCACAAGUGCACAGGGGAGAAGGGGGUGGCAUACAAAUUCUUUGUCUUCAAGAUGCUGAAUGGUCCAUGGAAUAAACAGCCCUCUUAGAUUUGCUAUGACAGUUUUGUUCACUACGUAUCUCCACUAACUCCCUGAGUCCAGCUGGGCCCUGUGAGAUCACUCAAGCUGGAAUUCUGUGAUGCAGCCAUUGUACCAUAGGGGUCAUGGCACAGACUGUACAAAGUAUUUAACAACAAUCCUGAACCCUUUCUGUAGCCACAGAGCCCCUGUGUUCAUAUCAGGGCUAUCAUAUGAAGAUGGUUUGCAAAUUAGUGGCUGAGAUGGUUAUGGCCAGAAAGUCAUGUUCCUUUGCAGCUGCACAACAUUACAGAAAAGCCCUGGAGAAACUGAAAUGGAAUUUCCAUUCUAAACCCAUUCUUAGGUGAGAAGUAACCAAAAAUUGUUUUAGAAAGGAAAUGUACACAGCCAAAAUCAAGUGAAGAAGCAUGAAUUUAAUACAAGUGGGAUUCUUUACCAGAGAAAGUCAG